rnacentral:lncRNA from 1 species
AUGGGAUUGAGCUUCAUUCAGAUGUGGUGGAAUAUGCCAAGGAAAAACUGGAGAGCUUCAUCAAAAAUAGUGAUAGCUUUGAUAAAUUUGAGUUCUGUGAACCUGCAUUUGUUGUUGGUAAUUGCCUCCAGAUAGCUUCUGACAGUCAUCAGUAUGAUCGAAUUUAUUGUGGAGCUGGAGUGCAGAAAGACCAUGAAAACUACAUGAAAAUAUUACUAAAAGUUGGAGGCAUAUUAGUCAUGCCUAUAGAGGAUCAGUUAACACAGAUUAUGCGAACUGGACAGAACACUUGGGAAAGUAAAAAUAUCCUUGCUGUUUCAUUUGCUCCACUUGUGCAACCAAGUAAGAAUGAUAAUGGCAAACCAGAUUCUGUGGGACUCCACCUUGGUUGACCAUAGAAAGCGGAAACCGUGGAAAGUGAAACUGUGCAUAAAGGGAGACUACUGUACUUGAAAUUCUACAAUAAGGAGAAAAGUCAUCAGUAACCAACAGUAACUUAUAAAAAUAAGUCAGGAAUUAUGUGAAUUUCUAAAAAAUAAAAGCUUCAUAUAGUAAUAUUCAGAGCAUGAAAAUAGUUUUGAAAAUUGAUAUUUGCCAAAAUUUAAUAGGAUGUAUGGAGAAUAAGUUUUUGUGGGUGUGUAGAAGUAAGUUAAAAUAGCUUUCUGUUGAGAGGACAUUAUUCCUUAAUUGCAGGAAAUUAAAAUAUGAAAGAACGCGACUCCAAAAAUCCCAAAAAUAAUAUAUAUAUAAAUUAUUUGCCAAAUGUAUCUUGUAGUAAUCAAGUUGCUCAUAUUAAACAACUUACUAAAGUGGA